GCCACCAAUAUAUCAAUACCAUUAUAGCAAAAUUGUCACACUGAUACAUUGAUAACUACAAAUCGCCAAAUGGCACAAUCAUUCCUCAGCCAGUUAUCUAAGAGGAACUCAUUCAAGAAAAACCAUCAACAAACCAAUGAACACAAACUCUUUCCAUUAGUCUGUAUCUCAUACCUCAAAAACACACACAUUAGUUAGUGUUCUUGUAAUGAUUGAAGGUAUAUAUAACAUACUCUUUCCCAAUACAAAGACAAAUUACAUAAUGUUACCAGUCAAAAUUGAGACAUUUACAAAAUUUUCAGGCUCUAUCUAAGGUAAGUAGAAGCAACCCAANNN
rnacentral:lncRNA from 1 species